rnacentral:tRNA from 1 species
GCUUAAGUAUUUUAAUUUAAAAUAUUGGUUUGUGGAACCAAUGAUAUGAAUUAUUUUCAUCUUAGGCC